CGGGUGGUAAUGCCGGAUGCUCCAUCUCAUCGCAUGGUGUUUUGGGAAAGCCUUUGCGGCAUGGGAUGGGGUCGCGUCCUAUCAGCUUGAUGGCGGGGUAACGGCCCACCAUGGCUUCGACGGGUAGCCGGCCUGAGAGGGCGACCGGCCACAUUGGGACUGAGAUACGGCCCAGACUCCUACGGGAGGCAGCAGUGGGGAAUAUUGCACAAUGGGCGCAAGCCUGAUGCAGCGACGCCGCGUGAGGGAUGGAGGCCUUCGGGUUGUAAACCUCUUUUGUUAGGGAGCAAGGCAUUUUGUGUUGAGUGUACCUUUCGAAUAAGCACCGGCUAACUACGUGCCAGCAGCCGCGGUAAUACGUAGGGUGCAAGCGUUAUCCGGAAUUAUUGGGCGUAAAGGGCUCGUAGGCGGUUCGUCGCGUCCGGUGUGAAAGUCCAUCGCUUAACGGUGGAUCCGCGCCGGGUACGGGCGGGCUUGAGUGCGGUAGGGGAGACUGGAAUUCCCGGUGUAACGGUGGAAUGUGUAGAUA
rnacentral:rRNA from 1 species